rnacentral:lncRNA from 1 species
GCUCCUUAAACUGUGUCAAACACCACGAAUGAUGCCAAAGACGGCCAGACAACGAUUUAAGGUACGAAAGGCUACUUGUAUAGUGCAACUUAAGAUUAGUCACUGCGGAUUGAUGUCAUAUGAAGCCAUGAGAAACCCCAGAGGGAAAACAAAUGCGUCAAUUCAUUCCGGGGUGCCGUGAUAAAUAGUGGCCCCUCAGCGUGUGGAAGGUAGAAUUUUGUAAAAGCACUUUCAGUGAAUAGCAGCGACUCGUAGCUGCUGAAGAAAAGAAAGUUCCAGAGUCCCGUACAAUGGGACGAGAAUUUAGGUAGGCAUCUUUCUUUACUGUUGGAAAGCAUUUAGGAGCUGCAACGUUAUUCAUUUUGGGCCAUAGCAAACCUAGGCCAACACGCAUUUGAUGCCUCAUUCUUUUGCACCCAGGAUGUCAAAUCGGCACCACACUAAUCAUGACACUAGCAUCAACGACUUCGUCAACGGAUGUAAGCAGUAUCUCCAAUUGACAACUUGGCUGCCGUGAAACAUAAUCCUAUGCGGUACCUUCCUACCGCACGUGGCCACGGGCAUUAUUGAGCUCCCACCUAAGUCAACCGUUAGGUAAUCGCUUUGAAGCGUGCCGAAUUAUCAGAUAGCGCACGUCGGUGCCUGUAACGUGCGCCUUCUAGUAUCACCGCAUGGACGCCCAAGCCGGGGUCUCUGUUGAAAGCAAGCCCUUCAUUGGACCACCAAGAUGCUGUUCGUUUCCCCCUGCAAUCACGUACAACAGCAAAGGGACAGUGGGACCGCAUGUUAAGAAGGAGGAAAAGCCUGACGGCAACACACCCAGGGUGCAUGCGUUGACAUCCGUCACGAACGUUCGCAUUAUAAAUGUGAAGUGGCGGGGACAUCUCCACCCGCAUGCUCUCCACCCAGCAAUCCCAGCCCAAUAGACAGCGGCUGCCUUCACUAUCCCCAUCUUGGCCUCCACAACACCCCAUCCUCCCUACCCACACGCACAUGGUGCUCUUGCUCCCCUCCACACAAGUACACCACAUCCGGAGAUAAGAACAUUUCCUCCCACCUAUGCCUUCGUUCCCCUUCUUCCUUCCCCGCUACCCACUACUUUACAACCCCUUUUUUCUUUCCUCCUGGCCCCAAAACACGGAUGCACCCACGCACCAGCUCAUCGUUCUCUGUGGGCCAGUCACUCGCCAGCCGCCAUCCACCGUCCACCUGGAACUUCACCUUAUAGCGCCCCGGCAGCAGCGGCAGAUCUGCCUC